rnacentral:rRNA from 1 species
UACGUAGGGAGCAAGCGUUGUCCGGAUUUACUGGGUGUAAAGGGUGCGUAGGCGGCUUAGCAAGUCAGGCGUGAAAACUAUGGGCUUAACCCAUAGACUGCGUUUGAAACUGUUGAGCUUGAGUGAAGUAGAGGUAGGCGGAAUUCCCGGUGUAGCGGUGAAAUGCGUAGAGAUCGGGAGGAACACCAGUGGCGAAGGCGGCCUACUGGGCUUUAACUGACGCUGAUGCACGAAAGCAUGGGUAGCAAACAGGAUUAGAUACCCUGGUAGUCCAUGCCGUAAACGAUGAUUACUAGGUGUGGGGGGUCUGACCCCUUCCGUGCCGGAGUUAACACAAUAAGUAAUCCACCUGGGGAGUACGACCGCAAGGUUGAAACUCAAAGGAAUUGACGGGGGCCCGCACAAGCAGUGGAGUAUGUGGUUUAAUUCGAAGCAACGCGAAGAACCUUACCAGGUCUUGACAUCCUAGGAACGGCCUAGAGAUAGGCUGGUGCCUUUCGGGGAAUCUAGAGACAGGUGGUGCAUGGUUGUCGUCAGCUCGUGUCGUGAGAUGUUGGGUUAAGUCCCGCAACGAGCGCAACCCUUGUGAUUAGUUGCUACGCAAGAGCACUCUAAUCAGACUGCCGUUGACAAAACGGAGGAAGGUGGGGACGACGUCAAAUCAUCAUGCCCUUUAUGACCUGGGCUACACACGUACUACAAUGGUCGCUAACAGAGGGAAGCAAUACCGCGAGGUGGAGCAAAACCCUAAAAGCGAUCUCAGUUCGGAUUGUAGGCUGCAACCCGCCUACAUGAAGUUGGAAUUGCUAGUAAUCGCGGAUCAGAAUGCCGCGGUGAAUACGUUCCCGGGCCUUGUACACACCGCCCGUCACACCAUGGGAGCCGGUAAUACCCGAAGUCAGUAGUCUAACCGCAAGGGGGACGCUGCCGAAGGUAGGAUUGGCGACUGGGGUG